CAUGUCCUUACAAAUGCCCCUAAGCAAGGUAUGUUUGUCACAUCUACCCCUCUUUUUGCCCUGUCAGGUAAUACUUUAAAUUUGCCCCCGCACGUAAUACAAUCUAUUUCUGCUACCUUGCGUAUUAACCCUCUCUUUCUGUCCCCUUUCUCGUUCCUAUCUAACCCCUAAACAUUCCUUUCUUUCUGCUCCCUUUCUUGUUUCUGUCCCACUCUUAAUACUCCUCUCUUUUGGUCCCCACAUGUAAUAACCUGUUU